CAAAAUAUAAAAGAAGUCCGUGAAUUUAAAGAAACGAUUAAUAAAAAUCAGUGUAUUUAAUUUGUAUAUAAAAAAUUUAGCAAAAAAACCUUUUUUCCUCUAUGUGGAUAGAACAGAAAAAAUUUGAGUGCUGAAAUACAACGCCGACGUGGAACUCCAGCAGAACAUAGGAAUGGAGGCAGAAGAAGGAAACGGCGCUGAGGAAUUUGGAAUUUGAUUAGCGACGAAAAUUCAGACCCCAAUAAAAAAUUAGAAGAAUUUUCUGAGCUCGGAAGCUCUGGAAAGCAUAAACAAAAUAAAAUUGUAUUUUUUAAUUUGGGUUCAUGUAUUUUUGGAUAUUUCGCUGCCAUCUAUUCACUAAUUUAUCAAUUUCAUCGCUAAAUUCACUUGUACUUCACCAACUAGAUGACAUGUUUAAGCGAGUGAACAUACUGUAAGGCCGCUACAACAACAACAACAACUGUAAGGGAAAUGCGCCCAUGUGUGUGCACACGCCCGGAGAAGUGGUUACUCUUUUCCCAAGCACAUACAAAACUGAUGAUCGAAUGAUACUAUAUUUUUUUCUUCGAGUGUAUUCAUGAUUAAAUAAUACAAGGUUGGAUAACCUGGCAGUUGUCUCGCUCCCACAUUCUGCUUUAGCCUGUGUUGCUUUCUUUUUUGAUUUGUAGAAACUACUACUAAAAUACAAGGAGAAAUAUUGUCUUCGUAAAAAAAGUUCAACAGGCAACACUGCCGAUAUUUUCAUCGAUUGUUUCGCGAAAAUUGAUUUUCUUAUUGCGCAAAUUCAAGUAGGUAUGGCAAAAAAAUAAAAAAUAAUAAAACUAUUUUGAACUAAAACAAUAAUUUACACAUUGUCACGUACACGUUACCGCCCCUUGUGUGUCGCUAUCAUUGUGGCGGCCCUAGCUAGCUCUGAAAUUGUGUGGCCGUGGUUCUCAACCCUUGCCACAAUGAAGCAGACUGGAAGUUACGCGUCGUUCAUCCACAUGCUUUUGUCAAUAGGAAGCCCACCCGUCCAUGGACCGCUCAUUUCAGACGUCGUCUCGCGGUCUCCCUGUUGUUCUACUCCAAUUGCCCACUAACUCACCCUUUUGUCAUCUUCCCCUCCCUCCGAAAUAAAUUAGUCCCUCAUAUUAAAUUUUUUUUCAAUUUCGAAUAUACAAGAGAAAUUUUAUUGACUAA